GACGAACCGUGCGAACGUUAUUCGGAAUCACUGGGCUUAAAGCGCGUGUAGGCGGGACGGCACGUCGGUCGCUGAAAUCCCCCGGCUCAACCGGGGAACGGGCGCCGAUACGACCGUCCUGGAGGGACGUAGGGGGACCUGGAACUUCCGGUGGAGCGGUGAAAUGCGUUGAGAUCGGAAGGAACGCCCGUGGCGAAAGCGAGGUCCUGGACGUCUUCUGACGCUGAGACGCGAAAGCCAGGGGAGCGAACGGG
rnacentral:rRNA from 1 species